rnacentral:rRNA from 1 species
AUGCAAGUGGUAGGAAGACCGAAGGUGACCGACCUCGGGAGCUUGCACAGGUGCUGCAUGGCUGUCGUCAGCUCGUGUCGUGAGAUGUUCGGUUAAGUCCGCUAACGAGCGCAACCCUCGCUGUGUGUUAUAUGUGUCACACGGGACUGCCGGUCUUAAGCCGGAGGAAGGUGGGGAUGAUGUCAAGUCAGCAUGGCCUUUAUAUCCUGGGCUACACACACGCUACAAUGGCCAACACAAUAGGUUGCUAAGCCGCGAGGUGGCGCCAAUCCAUAAAGUUGGUCUCAGUUCAGAUUGUAGGCUGCAACCCGCCUGCAUGAAGAUGGAGUUGCUAGUAACCGCAGGUCAGCUAUACUGCGGUGAAUACGUUCCCGGGGCUU